GUUUGAUCCUGGCUCAGGAUGAACGCUGGCGGCGUGCCUAAUACAUGCAAGUCGAGCGAACAGAUGAGAAGCUUGCUUCUCUGAUGUUAGCGGCGGACGGGUGAGUAACACGUGGGUAACCUACCUAUAAGACUGGGAUAACUCCGGGAAACCGGGGCUAAUACCGGAUAAUAUUUUGAACCGCAUGGUUCAAUAGUGAAAGACGGUUUCGGCUGUCACUUAUAGAUGGACCCGCGCCGUAUUAGCUAGUUGGUAAGGUAACGGCUUACCAAGGCGACGAUACGUAGCCGACCUGAGAGGGUGAUCGGCCACACUGGAACUGAGACACGGUCCAGACUCCUACGGGAGGCAGCAGUAGGGAAUCUUCCGCAAUGGGCGAAAGCCUGACGGAGCAACGCCGCGUGAGUGAUGAAGGUCUUCGGAUCGUAAAACUCUGUUGUUAGGGAAGAACAAAUUUGUUAGUA
rnacentral:rRNA from 2 species